ACCUCAUCACGUUGAAAUACCGGCUCACGUACGAUCACCGAAUUUAAGCAACGCCGUGCCUGGUCAGUACCGAAAUGGAUGACCGCUUGCAAAUAUCAGGUGCGGUA